rnacentral:rRNA from 1 species
UACAGAGGUCUCAAGCGUUGUUCGGAUUCAUUGGGCGUAAAAGGGUGUGUAGGUGGCGCGCUAAGUCGGGUGUGAAAUUUCGGAGCUUAACUCCGAAACUGCAUUCGAUACUGGCGUGCUUGAGGACUGGAGAGGAGACUGGAAUUCAUGGUGUAGCAGUGAAAUGCGUAGAGAUCAUGAGGAAGACCAGUGGCGAAGGCGGGUCUCUGGACAGUUCCUGACACUGAGACACGAAGGCCAGGGGAGCAAACGGG